UUUUUUUUUUUUUUUCUUUUUAUUAUUUUGGUGCUUUUAUGCUUAUGUAUCACAAUUAUCAAUAUACUGAAAUUUUCGGGUUCUUGACCAGAUCAUCAACAAACCUCAUCAUGAAUGACUGUUUCAUCUCAUCUUAAGAACCUCAAACUAUGGCAAUACUGCCUAAAAUUUUGUGAUUUUAUUAAAAUUAGUUAUGAAAUUCAGGAUAGUACAGAGACCAGCGAUCAAUUCAAAAAUCUUGGAUGAACAUAAAUUGUGUAAAACGAAUUUAAAGAAACACUAGAAGGUUGCAUAUAUUGCACUUGUAGUGUAGGUUAUGUCAAGCACAAUCCGUGGAAUCCACUCCCGCAAAAAGAUUGAACAUAUUCAAGCUACAAAAGUAGAAAAGAUGGUACAUACACGAAAAAUAGUACAGGAAAAAAAUGGUCGAGGAGGAUCUAGCGUCACUAAACCUUACACAUUAUACUGAGGUCGAGAUUGAUGAGUUGAAUUGAGUAGAGGGUCCAGUAGAGGUUGCUUACUGAAUCCAAGGCUUCCAUGCAUCAUUAAGUCGUCUGGAGGCAGGUACCAUUCCAUUUGUAAGAUAAGGACCCAAGACUCCAUUUUACUUUUAACACGAUGCCACAUUCUUGGGAAAAAAAAAAAGGAUAACCCAGUGCACGUAACAUUACAUACUUGCGAGCUAUGAAGGGCCUUACCCUGCUUUGUAAAGAAGCUAUUUUAGCGAUUUAGAAUCAAUAGGGCAUCCCUUGGUUUUGAGGUACAAGCAGCAGAUGCUAGAUGUGAUAUUGUAAAAGAACUAAGAAAUUUUGG
rnacentral:misc_RNA from 1 species